rnacentral:rRNA from 1 species
AACGAACGCUGGCGGCAUGCCUAACACAUGCAAGUCGAACGAGACCUUCGGGUCUAGUGGCGCACGGGUGCGUAACGCGUGGGAACCUGCCCUUAGGUUCGGAAUAACUCCCCGAAAGGGGUGCUAAUACCGGAUAAUGUCUUCGGACCAAAGAUUUAUCGCCUUUGGAUGGGCCCGCGUUGGAUUAGCUAGUUGGUAGGGUAAAAGCCUACCAAGGCGACGAUCCAUAGCUGGUCUGAGAGGAUGAUCAGCCACACUGGGACUGAGACACGGCCCAGACUCCUACGGGAGGCAGGAGUGGGGAAUAUUGGACGAUGGGCGAAAGCCUGAUCCAGCAAUGCCGCGUGAGUGAUGAAGGCCUGAGGGUUGUAAAGCUCUGUUACCCGGGAUGAUAAUGACAGUACCGGGAGAAUAAGCUCCGGCUAACUACGUG